rnacentral:pre_miRNA from 1 species
GAUUUCAGCUGAAAAAGUCAUCAACAACAAAGUUGUAUAACUCAUUAAGAUCAAUAACUUUUAUUUUAGUCAUUUCUUCAUCCGAAAAAGUAAUAGUAAUAUUUUCAUAAAAUUUAAAUAUAACUCUUAUAGUUUAUAAAACUAUAUAAGUGAUAUGUACAUUUUGUGAACAAUGUUACAAAUCACUUUGUCGGAUGAAGAAAUAAUCAAAAUAAAAGUUAUAGAUCUUGAUGAGUUAUACCACUUUGUUAUUGGUGACUUUUUCAGUUGAAAUC